rnacentral:lncRNA from 10 species
UCAGAGAAGUUGUGGUGCCUGUUCAAGAUCACUCAGCUGUACAGAGAAUGAGUAUCAUUAUCUCUGACUGAAGAUGAAGAACAGAAACAGUGAUUUGUUUAUGACGGAGAAGAGAGUCUGCCAUAAAGUCUUACUGGACCCAGGAUGGCCUACACCUUCUCUUCUGGCUUUGCCAUCUCUAAAACUGGCUUUUCUGGGAUAGAGAUCUUUGUUCCUUGGUCUGAAAUCCAAAUACAUGAUGCAGAAAAAGUGAGAAAAGUGAUUUAGGAACAAGUGGUUCGUGGAGAGGGCUCCUCAUUUUCUGGAUAAAGGCAGUAGCUCUACUUAGAAUCACAGAAUUAAAACCAAGAGAGGCCUCAGAGACCAUUUAGCCCCCCAUCCCACUCCUAAUUGUACAGUGGCAGGAAGUGAGGUGUGAGAACUGGAACUAUGAGCUCAGUAUCACCUAGUGAGUGGCAUCCUGGAUGGAACUUAGGGCUCCUGGCUUUCAGUUUAGUGCCUUUUUCUCCAUCCCACUUUGUUAUUCGACUACACUAGGCUAACCGAAGAGAAAGUUCUUGUAAUUUCAGAGAAAUCUUCAGCUUUUUCUUCUGCAAAUCUGGGAUGACACUCUCAUAGUAAAUGGAGAAUAACUGUGCUCCAAACAAGAAUGCUAGGAUUUAGGUAUCAAG